rnacentral:rRNA from 1 species
AUUGAACGCUGGCGGAAUGCUUUACACAUGCAAGUCGAGCGGCAGCGCGGGGCAACCUGGCGGCGAGCGGCGAACGGGUGAGUAAUGUAUCGGAACGUACCUCGUCGUGGGGGAUAACGCACCGAAAGGUGUGCUAAUACCGCAUACGUCCUGAGGGAGAAAGCGGGGGAUCGCAAGACCUCGCGCGAUGAGAGCGGCCGAUAUCUGAUUAGCUAGUUGGUAGGGUAAAGGCCUACCAAGGCGACGAUCAGUAGCUGGUCUGAGAGGACGACCAGCCACACUGGGACUGAGACACGGCCCAGACUCCUACGGGAGGCAGCAGUGGGGAAUUUUGGACAAUGGGGGAAACCCUGAUCCAGCCAUUCCGCGUGA